UCCUGGCUGUAAACGAUGAGGGCUAGGUGUUUGCGUGGCUACGGGCUGCGCAAGUGCCGCAGAGAAGUCGUUAAGCCCUCCGCCUGGGGAGUACGGCCGCAAGGCUGAAACUUAAAGGAAUUGGCGGGGGAGCACCACAAGGGGUGAAGCCUGCGGUUUAAUUGGACUCAACGCCGGGAAACUUACCGGGGGCGACAGCUGGAUGAAAGCCAGGCUGAUGACCUUGCUGGACUAGCUGAGAGGAGGUGCAUGGCCGUCGCCAGUUCGUGCCGUGAGGUGUCCUGUUAAGUCAGGCAACGA
rnacentral:rRNA from 1 species